CCCGGGCCAGCCGGGCUCCAUCCCGCGUAACGGUGACUGGGGCAGGCAAACGCCAUCGCUCCCAAUGUCCCCCCCUUUACUUCUUCUUCCCCCGGCUCUCGAGGCU